rnacentral:rRNA from 1 species
GCGCACGGGUGAGUAACGCGUGGGUAAUCUGCCUCCGAAUCGGGGAUAACAUUGCGAAAGCGAUGCUAAUACCGGAUAAAAUCUGGUUGGCUUCGGUGAACCGGAUCAAAGGUGGUCUCUUUUAAAAAGCUACCGUUUGGAGAUGAGCUCGCGUACCAUUAGCUUGUUGGUGGGGUAAAGGCUCACCAAUGCGACGAUGGUUAGCUGGUCUGAGAGGAUGAUCAGCCACACCGGAACUGGAACACGGUCCGGACUCCUACGGGAGGCAGCAGUGAGGAAUUUUGCGCAAUGGGGGAAACCCUGACGCAGCAACGCCGCGUGAGUGAUGAAGGCUUUCGGGUCGUAAAGCUCUGUCAGGUGGGAAGAACCCACCAUGUGUAAACAUCACCUGGUGCUGACGGUACCACCGAAGGAAGCACCGGCUAACUCCGUGCCAGCAGCCGCGGUAAUACGGGGGGUGCGAGCGUUAUUCGGAAUCAUUGGGCGUAAAGGGCGCGCAGGCGGUUUUGUAAGUCAGAUGUGAAAUCCCGGGGCUUAACCCCGGAAGUGCAUAUGAAACUAUGAGACUUGAGUAUGGGAGAGGGAAGCGGAAUUCCUGGUGUAGCGGUGAAAUGCGUAGAUAUCAGGAGGAACACCGGUGGCGAAGGCGGCUUCCUGGACCAAUACUGACGCUUGAGGCGCGAAGGCGUGGGGAGCGAACAGGAUUAGAUACCCUGGUAGUCCACGCAGUAAACGUUGAUCACUAGGUGUAGCGGGUAUUGACCCUUGCUGUGCCGGAGUUAACGCAUUAAGUGAUCCGGCUGGGGAAUACGAUCGGCAGAUUAAAACUCCCAGGACUUGACUGGGUGCCCGCACAAGCGGUGGAGCAUGUGGUUUAAUUCGACGCAUCGCGAAGAACCUUACCUGGACUUGACAUCUCGGGAAUUCCGUUGAAAGACGGGAGUGCCUUUAACGAGGAAUCCGAUGACAGGUGCUGCGUGGCUGUCGUCAGCUCGUGUCGUGAGAUGUUGGGUUAAGUCCCGCAACGAGCGCAACCCCUAUCUUCAGUUGCCAUCAGGUGAUGCUGGGGACUUUGGAGAUACU